rnacentral:rRNA from 1 species
CUACCUAUAAGACUGGGAUAACUUCGGGAAACCGGAGCUAAUACCGGAUAAUAUUUUGAACCGCAUGGUUCAAAAGUGAAAGACGGUCUUGCUGUCACUUAUAGAUGGAUCCGCGCUGCAUUAGCUAGUUGGUAAGGUAACGGCUUACCAAGGCAACGAUGCAUAGCCGACCUGAGAGGGUGAUCGGCCACACUGGAACUGAGACACGGUCCAGACUCCUACGGGAGGCAGCAGUAGGGAAUCUUCCGCAAUGGGCGAAAGCCUGACGGAGCAACGCCGCGUGAGUGAUGAAGGUCUUCGGAUCGUAAAACUCUGUUAUUAGGGAAGAACAUAUGUGUAAGUAACUGUGCACAUCUUGACGGUACCUAAUCAGAAAGCCACGGCUAACUACGUGCCAGCAGCCGCGGUAAUACGUAGGUGGCAAGCGUUAUCCGGAAUUAUUGGGCGUAAAGCGCGCGUAGGCGGUUUUUUAAGUCUGAUGUGAAAGCCCACGGCUCAACCGUGGAGGGUCAUUGGAAACUGGAAAACUUGAGUGCAGAAGAGGAAAGUGGAAUUCCAUGUGUAGCGGUGAAAUGCGCAGAGAUAUGGAGGAACACCAGUGGCGAAGGCGACUUUCUGGUCUGUAACUGACGCUGAUGUGCGAAAGCGUGGGGAUCAAACAGGAUUAGAUACCCUGGUAGUCCACGCCGUAAACGAUGAGUGCUAAGUGUUAGGGGGUUUCCGCCCCUUAGUGCUGCAGCUAACGCAUUAAGCACUCCGCCUGGGGAGUACGACCGCAAGGUUGAAACUCAAAGGAAUUGACGGGGACCCGCACAAGCGGUGGAGCAUGUGGUUUAAUUCGAAGCAACGCGAAGAACCUUACCAAAUCUUGACAUCCUUUGACAACUCUAGAGAUAGAGCCUUCCCCUUCGGGGGACAAAGUGACAGGUGGUGCAUGGUUGUCGUCAGCUCGUGUCGUGAGAUGUUGGGUUAAGUCCCGCAACGAGCGCAACCCUUAAGCUUAGUUGCCAUCAUUAAGUUGGGCACUCUAAGUUGACUGCCGGUGACAAACCGGAGGAAGGUGGGGAUGACGUCAAAUCAUCAUGCCCCUUAUGAUUUGGGCUACACACGUGC